UUGAGGAAGUAAAAGUCGUAACAAGGUUUCCGUAGGUGAACCUGCGGA
rnacentral:rRNA from 1 species